CGAGGAAUUUUGCGCAAUGGGCGAAAGCCUGACGCAGCAACGCCGCGUGAGGGAUGAAGGCCUUCGGGUCGUAAACCUCUUUUGCGGGGGGAGAAGUAUGACGGUACCCCGCGAAUAAGCCACGGCUAACUACGUGCCAGCAGCCGCGGUAAUACGUAGGUGGCAAGCGUUGUCCGGAUUUAUUGGGCGUAAAGCGCACGCAGGCGGUUGGCUAAGUCCGAUGUGAAAUCUCUCGGCUUAACUGGGAGGAGUCAUCGGAUACUGGCCGGCUUGAGGAAGGUAGAGGAGAGUAGAAUUCCCGGUGUAGUGGUGGAAUGCGUAGAUAUCGGGAGGAAUACCAGUGGCGAAGGCGGCUCUCUGGGCCUUUCCUGACGCUGAGGUGCGAAAGCGUGGGGAGCGAACCGG
rnacentral:rRNA from 1 species